rnacentral:lncRNA from 1 species
AGACAAUGCUAAGAGUUCUACAUUUUGCUCUGAAGGCAGUAAGGAGAGACCAUGUGCGUUUUCUCUUUCAGAAGAAAAGGACACAUUAGUCACACACCAAUCACGAUGCCUCUGGAACGUCCCUCUCUUCUCUUCUUCAUACCUCAACUCCACGGAGACGAAAGGCUCUAGAGCAAGUUAGUCUGCCCAGCUGUGCUGUCCUCUCUGGUAGAGUGGGCAGGCCAGGCUGAGCUCUCUCGUGGGUAUGUGUAAUUCAGAAAGAAGAUAGGGAGACUAUGCCGGGGCCUAGCAAAUACAGAAGUGGAUGCUCACAGUCAGCUAAUG